rnacentral:rRNA from 1 species
GAUGAACGCUGGCUACAGGCUUAACACAUGCAAGUCGAGGGGAAACGACGGGGAAGCUUGCUUCCCCGGGCGUCGACCGGCGCACGGGUGAGUAACGCGUAUCCAACCUGCCUCUGACUGAGGGAUAACCCGUCGAAAGUCGGCCUAAUACCUCAUGGCAUCGUCUGCGGGCAUCCAACGACGAUUAAAGAUUUCAUCGGUCAGGGAUGGGGAUGCGUCUGAUUAGCUUGUUGGCGGGGUAACGGCCCACCAAGGCUACGAUCAGUAGGGGUUCUGAGAGGAAGGUCCCCCACAUUGGAACAGAGACACGGUCCAAACUCCUACGGGAGGCAGCAGUGAGGAAUAUUGGUCAAUGGGCGGGAGCCUGAACCAGCCAAGUAGCGUGCAGGAUGACGGCCCUAUGGGUUGUAAACUGCUUUUAUGCGGGGAUAAAGUGAGGGACGUGUCCUUCAUUGCAGGUACCGCAUGAAUAAGGACCGGCUAAUUCCGUG